UUACUACUCCCUCCGUUCCAAAUUACUCGUCGCUGAAAUGGAUGUAUCUAGAAUCAAAAUACAUCUAGAUACAUCCAUACGUGCGACAAGUAAUUCAGAACGGAGGGAGUACCUC
rnacentral:pre_miRNA from 1 species